GGCUUAUUUAUAAUUUUAAGUCGAUCUGCCCAAUGAUAAAUGGCUGCAGUAUACUAACUGUACAAAGGUAGCAUAAUCAAUUGUUUUUUAAUUAAAAACUAGAAUAAAAGAAUUAAUGAGAUACAUACUGUCUCAUAUAUAUGUAAUAAAUUUAAAUUUUUAGUAAAAAUGCUUAAAUUAUUUUAUGGGACGAUAAGACCCUAUAGAAUUUUAUAUUUGGGAGGAUUAGUAAAUUUAUUGAACUUUAUUAAAUAAACUUUAAUUUUAGAAUGAUCUUAUAUUAUAAAUUAAAAAAAAUAAAUUACCUUAGGGAUAACAGCGUAAUAUCUUUUUAAAGACCAUAUUAAUAAAGAUGUUUGCGACCUCGAUGUUGAAUUAAGAUAAAUUUUAGAUGGAGAUAUCUAAAAAUUAAGUCUGUUCGACUUUUAAAAUCUUACAUGAUUUGAGUUCAAAUCGACGUAAGU
rnacentral:rRNA from 1 species